AAAUAGGAGAGAGAAAAAUAUAUUGGUAGUAGAAGAAACGGUAGGAGGUAUAGAGAAGACAAAAUAAAAACAAAAGUUCGCCAUCGUUUUCGAAUGCAAAAUUAGUUCGUGAUUAUUGAAAGCAAUUAAAAUAUACUGUUUCUUGUGACAUAAAAGCUUGAAAUAAGUAAUUAAAAUCAGCAGGGAAAAGUUCGGUCAGUUGCGAUACCACUUCCAACACGGUGAAGCUACAAUUUAUUAUUCGGAUUAAUAAAUUCGGAUUCUGGCGACAAAUUAGGUUGAUCCGCUGAACCAGUAUUGUAGAUUCAGUUUGACGACGAACCCGCUGGCCAAAAGGUAGGGUAGUUGAACCGUACUUCAACACCCAAAACCAAAAGGAAUCGAGGAGCAUAGGUAUUCAGGAAGGAAACCAGUUUAUUUUUCAGCAUUGCUGAAAACUAAUCAGCUGCUUCGGGAAAACUUGGUUUCCCUAUCGGGAACA